GACGAACGCUGGCGGCGUGCUUAACACAUGCAAGUCGAACGGAAAGGCCCUGCUUGCAGGGUACUCGAGUGGCGAACGGGUGAGUAACACGUGGGUGAUCUGCCCUGCACUUCGGGAUAAGCCUGGGAAACUGGGUCUAAUACCGGAUAGGAGCCAUUUUUAGUGUGAUGGUUGGAAAGUUUUUUCGGUGUAGGAUGAGCUCGCGGCCUAUCAGCUUGUUGGUGGGGUAAUGGCCUACCAAGGCGGCGACGGGUAGCCGGCCUGAGAGGGUGGACGGCCACAUGGGGACUGGGAUCGGGCCAAGCCUCGGACGGGGGGAGGAGGGGGGGAGUUGUGAAAAAGGGGCGCAGGCCGGAUGAGGCACCGCGGGGGGGGGGAGGAGGGCUUUGGGGUUGAAAACUCUUUCGGCGGGGGACAAAGUUUUUUGUGCGGGACCUUAGAGAAGAGCCCCGGGCAAGCAACGGC
rnacentral:rRNA from 1 species